rnacentral:rRNA from 1 species
AUAUUAAUAAGCGGAGGAAAAGAAACUAACAAGGAUUCCCAUAGUAACGGCGAGUGAAGUGGGAAGAGCUCAAAUUUGGAAUCUCCAGGGGACAACUCUGGCGAAUUGUAGUCUCGAGAAGACUUUUCUGGUGUGGCUGCUGGUCUAAGUUCCUUGGAACAGGGCAUCAAAGAGGGUGAGAAUCCCGUAUUUGACUGCACAGCACAUGCCUAUACGUGAGUCUUUCAAAGAGUCGGGUUGUUUGGGAAUGCAGCCCAAAAUGGGUGGUAAAUUCCAUCUAAAGCUAAAUAUUGGCACGAGACCGAUAGCGAACAAGUACUGUGAAGGAAAGAUGAAAAGCACUUUGAAAAGAGAGUUAAGAGCACGUGAAACGCGUUAAAGGGGAAGCGAUUGGAGCUAGCAGUGUGGCGGAGAUGAUCAGCUAGUGGCGGUCUCGCCGGCAGGCUUUGGUAGCGCAAGCACCGGGUUUGUCGUCAUGGGGCUGUCCACUGGUGUACUCUUUUCCGUUGCAGGUCAACAUCGGUUUUCCGGUGCGGGUAAAAGCAGUCGGGGAGGUAAUCAGCUUCGGCUGAUGUUAAAACCGAUUGUGCUACCGCGCUGAAGACCGAGGCAGGCUGCAGCGUGUGCCAUUAGGCUGGGCCAGCUCUGCUUGGGCGGCUGUCAGGUUACGUACUACUUGUAGUGCGUGGUUUGGCAGUUGUCUACAGCGGGGUGACGUCACAAACACGCUUCGGAUGUUGACGAAAUGGCUUCAACUGA